rnacentral:rRNA from 1 species
AAAUUUAAGUUGAACAAUACAAACAACAGUUUAAAAAUCAAAGAUCUUGGCGGUGUUUUAUUAAAUCAGGGGAACCUGUCUUAUAAUUCGAUAAUCCACGAAACCCUCACCUAUUUUUGAAUAUUCAGUAUGUGUACUGCCGUCGUAAGCACAUCUCUAAAAGAUUAAGUACAACAAUGAAAUAUGUUCAUUUACGUCAGGUCAAAGUGCAACUUAUAAAUCAGGUAAAGAUGGGUUACACUCACAAUAUUGAUAUGGAUUAGGUUAUUAAAUAAACUUAUGAAGGUGGACUUGAAAGUAAUUAUAACUAAAUGUUUAAA